CCCCCAGCGCCCCGGAGCCGCGGCUCCCCGCUCCUUCCCCACCCAGCGGCCCUCCGAGCUCUCUGGGGAUAAAGGCCCAAUCCUUGCCAGGCCCCAGGCCCUUCGGAUCUCGGCCCUGCGGUGACGCCUGUGGCCUCGAAUUUCCCGCCAGCUCCCCCGGCCUUUGGCCACCUGCUCCCUCCAGCCCCAGGCCUCUACCCUGGCCUGUGACCUCUGCUCAGCCUGCCCUUCCCGCUGCUCCUCCUCCCGCUGCUCCUGGCUUGCUCUGGCUGACCCUCCAGACCCUGCCGGCGUAGGGUUAAGUAAGGUUGCACUGGGGGCUUGCGCAGAGCCUGGGCAUCUUCCUUUUGCCCAGCCCUGGCCACCUUACCCUGGGCUGCUGGCCUGCUUGUAUACACCCCAUGAUCUUUCAUCUCUAUCUCCCCAAGCAGAGAGCCUGGUACACGUCACUCAUUCAUAAAUUUAUUCAACAAGCAUCAACCAAGUACCAGUGUGGAGUGGGCCCUGGAGAUCUAGAGAUAGAGCAGCCCCAGCAGAGCUUCGCCUGGCUCAGCCCAGCAUGCAAACCUGAACUCAGUGCAGGAAUGGGGGCCGCAAAACCUCAGUGGUGUGAGCUGCACCAGUGACCUUGUCGCCAACAGUAACCCAGAUAGUUUCCAAUCACAUCGCGACAGAAGCAGAGAUCCCUACGUAUCAUUUACACUCACUGCUACUUCAAAAUGAUGAGUGGUAGACUUGCAGCCUGGGGCUCACUAAUGUGGUAAUAAAUACAC